CUGAGCUCUGCCCAUUCUGCACGUGUCUGAGCAGCAGAGAGUAAAUCAGUUAAAGGAUGAAGAAUUCAAUGUCCAGUACAGACCAGGCAGACAUGUAUCCAUCAUUCCUUCUCCUGCAGGAAGAAGAUGGGGGAGAGAAAAACAGCUAGUGGUCGCAUUGUUGCAUAAUUGAAGAGAUUUGUGACCUAAGGAAGAAGAUGAGGGGGAGAAAAACAGCUAGUGGUCGCAUUGUUGCAUAAUUGAAGAGAUUUGUGACCUAAGGAAGAAGAUGGGGGGGAGAAAAACGGCUAGUGGUCGCAUUGUUGCAUAAUUGAAGAGAUUUGUGACCUAAGGAAGAAGAUGGGGGGGAGAAAAACGGCUAGUGGUCGCAUUGUUGCAUAAUUGAAGAGAUUUGUGACCUAAGUGAUGGGAGUGUGUCCAAAGAUCGUAGCCCUAAAAGUAACCUGAAGAAUAUCUACCCGUGGUGGAUCUAAUCACAGAACCUGCCUAGCGCCAUGGAGACUUCAUUAUAGAGUCUGCUGUAUGAAAUCAUGAU